GAGUUUGAUCGUGGCUCAGAGUGAACGCUGGCGGCAGGCCUAACACAUGCAAGUCGAACGGCAGCACAGGAGAGCUUGCUCUCUGGGUGGCGAGUGGCGGACGGGUGAGGAAUACAUCGGAAUCUACCUUGUCGUGGGGGAUAACGUAGGGAAACUUACGCUAAUACCGCAUACGACCUACGGGUGAAAGCGGCGGACCGCAAGGCGUCGCGCGAUUGGAUGAGCCGAUGUCCGAUUAGCUAGUUGGCGGGGUAAAGGCCCACCAAGGCGACGAUCGGUAGCUGGUCUGAGAGGAUGAUCAGCCACACUGGAACUGAGACACGGCCCAGACUCCUACGGGAGGCAGCAGUGGGGAAUUUUGGACAAUGGGGGCAACCCUGAUCCAGCCAUGCCGCGUGAGUGAAGAAGGCCUCGGUUGUAAG
rnacentral:rRNA from 1 species